CCCAGAGAAGAUCGCGGGGGUAGGUCUGGGAACUGCCUGAUGGAGGGGGAUAACUACUGGAAACGGUAGCUAAUACCGCAUAACGUCGCAAGACCAAAGAGGGGGACCUUCGGGCCUCUUGCCAUCGGAUGUGCCCAGAUGGGAUUAGCUUGUUGGUGGGGUAACGGCUCACCNAGGCGACGAUCCCUAGCUGGUCUGAGAGGAUGACCAGCCACACUGGAACUGAGACACGGUCCAGACUCCUACGGGAGGCAGCAGUGGGGAAUAUUGCACAAUGGGCGCAAGCCUGAUGCANCCAUGCCGCGUGUAUGAANAANGCCUUCNNNUUGU
rnacentral:rRNA from 1 species